ACAGUACAAACUGAGCAGGCGAUGAACCUUUUUGUAAAGGUCAUGGGGCCGGGCCGCCCAAUGAGCGGCAACAGAUUGCAAUUUGAGCACAUCUGUGGGACAGUA
rfam:Clostridium sp. C105KSO13 isolate C105KSO131 genome assembly, contig: {contig102}